rnacentral:pre_miRNA from 1 species
AUCACCUGAGGAUCUUGUUAAAAUGUAGAUGCUGGGCUGGGGCCUGAGGUUUUGCAUUUCUAACAAGCUUCCAGGUGAAGCUGA